rnacentral:rRNA from 1 species
UACGUAGGCAGCGAGCGUUGUUCGGAGUUACUGGGCGUAAAGGGUGUGUAGGCGGCUUUCUAAGUUUGGUGUGAAAUCUCCCGGCUCAACCGGGAGGGUGCGCCGAAAACUGGGAGACUAGAGUGCGGGAUGGGAGAGUAGAAUUCCUGGUGUAGCGGUGAAAUGCGUAGAUAUCAGGAGGAAUACCGGUGGUGUAGACGGCUCUCUGGACCGCCACUGACGCUGAGACACGAAAGCGUGGGUAGCAAACAGG